GAUGAACGCUGGCGGCGUGCCUAAUACAUGCAAGUCGAGCGAACAGACGAGGCGCUUGCUCCUCUCACGUUAGCGGCGGACGGGUGUGUAACACGUGUGUAACCUACCUAUAAUACUGGGAUAACUUCGGGAAACCGGCGCUAAUACCGGAUAAUCUCUUGAACCGCAUGGUUCAAUAGUGAAAGUCGGUUUUGCUGUCACUUAUAGCUGCAUCCCCGCUGCAUUAGCUAGUUGGUAAGGUAACGGCUUACCAAGGGAACGAUGCGUAGCCGAGCUGAGAGGGUGAUCGGCCACACUGGAACGGGGACACGGUCCAGAGUCCUACGGGAGGCAGCAGUAGGGAAUCUUACGCAAUGGGCGAAAGCAUGACGGAGCAACGGCGCGUGAGAGAUGAAGGUCUUCGGAUCGUAAAACUCUGUUAUUAGGGAAGAACAAAUGUGGAAGGAAAUGUACACGGAGUGACGGUACCGAAUCAGAAAGCCACGGCUAACUACGUG
rnacentral:rRNA from 1 species